CCUUACCUGGGCUUAAAUGCAGAACGACAGACUGGGAAACCGGUUUUUCUUCGGACGUUUUGCAAGGUGCUGCAUGGUUGUCGUCAGCUCGUGCCGUGAGGUGUCGGGUUAAGUCCCAUAACGAGCGCAACCCCUAUUCUUAGUUGCCAGCGGUUCGGCCGGGGACUCUAAGAAAACUGCCCGCGCAAGCGGUGAGGAAGGUGGGGAUGACGUCAAAUCAUCACGGCCCUUACGUCCAGGGCUACACACGUGCUACAAUGGUGUUGACAGAGGGCAGCUAUACUGCGAAGUAAUGCUAAUCCCAAAACAACAUCUCAGUUCGGAUUGGAGUCUGCAACUCGACUCCAUGAAGCUGGAAUCGCUAGUAAUCGCGCAUCAGCCAUGGCGCGGUGAAUACGUUCCCGGGUCUGUACACACCG
rnacentral:rRNA from 1 species